CUGAUCUGUGGCCACUGCCGCUGUGGUCUCGGGUUUCGUGCCCUCUCACCUUUUGAGGGCCCAGGUGCUAUUCCCUCACCAGUCCCCGCUCUCCUGGCCUCAGGUGCCCUCCCCAAGCCCAUGCUCGGACUGGCCAGGCCAAGCCGUGUGCCUUCUGCGCCGAGAAGACAGGCUGGGACCUGCCCCCUGCUGUCUGAAAGCUGUGAUGUGCUGAUACAUGGUGACAAUGACAUCUAGACGGAUGUUUGACUGAACACUGAGAACCGUAGCCUAGCCAGCUUGACACAGAAACCCUCCAGCACAAUGACCUCAUCCGUGGAGAUGGACCCGCACACUUUGCAAAGUGACCGGCCACCACUGAUUCCUUUAUCUCCUCUUCUUUCCUGAGGCCUCUGUCCUGUGUGGUGUGCUAGGCAGUUUCUGCGUCCUCACUCUCUUUUCCCUGCUGGGUGAGUGGCUGUGGCUGGGAACAGGACCCACUGGCUGCAGUGCCCCUGACCUGCACAUGUCUCCAGAUUCCAGCUUCCAGAGUUGCCCCCCUCCCGACGGAGUGUCCUGAGGGGAAUUCAGGAUGGAGAAAAACAGGGUGCUGACCCUAGAUAGUUAAGAUGCAUACCAAGGGAAUGAUUUCAGCGAGCCCAGACUCUUGAAUCUCCCCAGACAUAGAAAAGCACGUCGUUAACUUGAGAUGGCUGGUUUUGUGAUUAGCAGUAAUCUUUUGAUGUUAGACUACAUGUUUUUUGUUUGUUUGUGUUUUAAAGCGAAACUUCGUGUAUAUCGUGGCUCCUCCUUUACCUCUUUGGAACAGUUCCUCAGAGCUCUCUGAAGGCCUGUCUCCCGGGCUACAGUCCUCAGUAAUGCCCACAAAUAAAACAUAAUUCUCAACUUUUA